rnacentral:rRNA from 1 species
GUAGGUGGCAAGCGUUGUCCGGAAUUAUUGGGCGUAAAGCGCGCGCAGGCGGUCCUUUAAGUCUGAUGUGAAAGCCCACGGGCUCAACCGUGGAGGGUCAUUGGAAACUGGGGGACUUGAGUACAGAAGAGGAAAGCGGAAUUCCAAGUGUAGCGGUGAAAUGCGUAGAGAUUUGGAGGAACACCAGUGGCGAAGGCGGCUUUCUGGUCUGUAACUGACGCUGAGGCGCGAAAGCGUGGGGAGCAAACAGGAUUAGAUACCCUGGUAGUCCACGCCGUAAACGAUGAGUGCUAAGUGUUAGGGGGUUUCCGCUCCUUAGUGCUGCAGCUAACGCAUUAGGCACUCCGCCUGGGGAGUACGGCCGCAAAGGCUG